rnacentral:rRNA from 1 species
AUUGGGGAAUUUUCCGCAAUGGGCGAAAGCCUGACGGAGCAACGCCGCGUGAGGGAUGAAGGCCUCUGGGCUGUAAACCUCUUUUAUCAAGGAAGAAGAUCUGACGGUACUUGAUGAAUAAGCCACGGCUAAUUCCGUGCCAGCAGCCGCGGUAAUACGGGAGUGGCAAGCGUUAUCCGGAAUUAUUGGGCGUAAAGCGUCCGCAGGCGGUCUUGUAAGUCUGUCGUUAAAGCGUGGAGCUUAACUCCAUUUGAGCGAUGGAAACUGCAAGACUAGAGUGUGGUAGGGGCAGAGGGAAUUCCCGGUGUAGCGGUGAAAUGCGUAGAUAUCGGGAAGAACACCAGUGGCGAAGGCGCUCUGCUGGGCCAUAACUGACGCUCAUGGACGAAAGCCAGGGGAGCGAAAGGGAUUAGAUACCCCUGUAGUCAAU